GUAGGGAAUCUUCGGCAAUGGGGGCAACCCUGACCGAGCAACGCCGCGUGAGUGAAGAAGGUUUUCGGAUCGUAAAGCUCUGUUGUAAGAGAAGAACGUGUGUGAGAGUGGAAAGUUCACACAGUGACGGUAACUUACCAGAAAGGGACGGCUAACUACGUGCCGG
rnacentral:rRNA from 1 species